GAUGAAGAACGCAGCGAAAUGCGAUACGUAAUGUGAAUUGCAGAAUUCAGUGAAUCAUCGAAUCUUUGAACGCAUAUUGCGCUCUCUGGUAUUCCGGAGAGCAUGCUUGUUUGAGUAUCAGUAAACACCUCAACUUCCAUAUCUUUUUUGAAAUGGGAGUUGGACUUGAGUGAUCCCAACGCUUUUCCUCACCGAAAAGUGGCGGGUUACUUGAAAUGCAGGUGCAGCUGGACUUUUCUCUGAGCUAUAAGCAUAUCUAUUUAGUCUGCCUAAAAAACAGAUUAUUACCUUUGCUGCAGCUAACAUAAAGGAGAUUAGUUCUUGUGCUGACUGAUGCAGGAUUCACAAAGACGGCUUCGGCCGACUUUGUAAACUCGAGCUCAAAUCAAGUAAGACUACCCGCUGAACUUAAGCAUAUCAAUAAGCGGAGGA
rnacentral:misc_RNA from 1 species